CAGUCGCCGCGGGAAUACGUAGGUGGCAAGCGUUGUCCGGAAUUAUUGGGCGUAAAGGGCUCGCAGGCGGUUUCUUAAGUCUGAUGUGAAAGCCCCCGGCUCAACCGGGGAGGAUCAUUGGAAACUGGGAAACUUGAGUGCAGAAGAGGAGAGUGGAAUUCCACGUGUAGCGGUGAAAUGCGUAGAGAUGUGGAGGAACACCAGUGGCGAAGGCGACUCUCUGGUCUGUAACUGACGCUGAGGAGCGAAAGCGUGGGGAGCGAACAGGAUUAGAUACCCCUGUAGUCCCUGUCUCUUAUAC
rnacentral:rRNA from 1 species